rnacentral:lncRNA from 1 species
AAAAUGGUGAUUUAAGUUGUUCUCAAUUAUCGUUUAACUAACAUGGAAAUGAUGGAAUGUAACCCAGUCUGUACGUUACAUAUAUAUUGAAAAACAAAUACUAGAAAUUCAAUAGAAGAUAAACUUUUUGUUAAAUUUUUUUGUAUAGCAAUAUAUUUAGAAAAUAAUUUAAAUAUCUAUGAAUUACUUGGUAGUCAAUUUAAGAAAUUGUUUAACCGUUGGAUUAUUCCUAAUUAAAU